rnacentral:rRNA from 1 species
AGAGUUUGAUCCUGGCUCAGGAUGAACGCUAGCUACAGGCUUAACNCAUGCAAGUCGAGGGGCAGCAUGGUCUUAGCUUGCUAAGGCUGAUGGCGACCGGCGCACGGGUGAGUAACACGUAUCCAACCUGCCGUCUACUCUUGGCCAGCCUUCUGAAAGGAAGAUUAAUCCAGGAUGGGAUCAUGAGUUCACAUGUCCGCAUGAUUAAAGGUAUUUUCCGGUAGACGAUGGGGAUGCGUUCCAUUAGAUAGUAGGCGGGGUAACGGCCCACCUAGUCAACGAUGGAUAGGGGUUCUGAGAGGAAGGUCCCCCACAUUGGAACUGAGACACGAUCCAAACUCCUACGGGAGGCAGCA